ACUUCAUUCCUUCGUGUCAACUUCGGGAAGCUCCGCAACGACCGUUACGGACACAUUUUACUUACAAAGAAAAUCAGCCCAAAUCAAACGAUCUGACGAAUCAUCGGCCAUCGAUAGCUCAAAUCCAUAAGGAAGCUAUGCAAUGAC